rnacentral:rRNA from 1 species
GAUGAACGCUGGCGGCGUGCCUAAUACAUGCAAGUCGAACGAGAUCUUCGGAUCUAGUGGCGGACGGGUGAGUAACACGUUGGUACCUGCCUCGAGGUGGGGAAUAACUGCCCGAAAGGGUGGCUAAUACCGCAUGUGACCGCAAGGUUAAAGUCGUAAGACGCUUCGAGAGGGGCCUGCGUCCCAUUAGCUAGUUGGCAGGGUAAUGGCCUACCAAGGCGACGAUGGGUAGCUGGAUCGAGAGGUUGACCAGCCACACUGGGACUGAGAUACGGCCCAGACUCCUACGGGAGGCAGCAGUAAGGAAUCUUCCACAAUGGACGAAAGUCUGAUGGAGCAACGCCGCGUGCAGGAUGACGGUCUUCGGAUUGUAAACUGCUUUUGUGUGGGAAGAUUAUGACGGUACCAUGCGAAUAAGGACCGGCUAACUACGUGCCAGCCGCCGCAGUAA